rnacentral:lncRNA from 1 species
UUAUGUUACAGGUGAUACUAUGCCUUUCAUACACCCCCUUCUAUUGCUCUACCCAUGUGAUAAGAUAAUUUUGUACAACAAUACACAAUAUAAUAAGACAGAACAUGAAAGAAUAGAUUAAGAAAGUUAACCUCUUGUGGAAAAUAUACUCUUGGCUUUACUUGUCCAUCAUGUAAGGUUUGUGAAUUCUGGUAUUUUGAGUAUGGCCAUUUUCUGCCAUGAAAGUAUCACCUGGAGCAAUUAGUUUAUAAGUGAGCCACAUAUCGUUUGGUUCACCCAGAAUC